CAGCAGCCACGGGAAUACAGAGGGUGCGAGCGUUAAUCGGAUUUACUGGGCGUAAAGCGUGCGUAGGCGGCUUUUUAAGUCGGAUGUGAAAUCCCCGAGCUUAACUUGGGAAUUGCAUUCGAUACUGGUUAGCUAGAGUGUGGGAGAGGAUGGUAGAAUUCCAGGUGUAGCGGUGAAAUGCGUAGAGAUCUGGAGGAAUACCGAUGGCGAAGGCAGCCAUCUGGCCUAACACUGACGCUGAGGUACGAAAGCAUGGGGAGCAAACAGGAUUAGAUACCCCGGUAGUCCCUGUCUCUUAUAC
rnacentral:rRNA from 1 species